rnacentral:rRNA from 1 species
AUGGACGGGGGCACCUCUAGCAAGAGACGAGUAGAAGCCCCGGGAGAGGGACAGAGCAGCUGCAAGAGGCAGAAUGCAACCAUGGGGAUGGACACCCUCGACUGCCCCGUCUGCUUUCAUCCCCUCAGACCUCCGAUAUACCAGUGUUCUGUGGGGCAUUUCGUAUGCUCAUCUUGCCGCCCGAAGCUCGUGCGCAACAAGUGUCACUUGUGCUCUGCCGAAACUACCUUCAAGCGCUGUCUAGGGAUGGAACGUCUCAUGGAAUCAGUCACGGUCGCUUGCUCCAAUGCCAAUUAUGGAUGCGCCCAGAAGCUCACUUACUACCAGAGGGAAGAGCAUGAGGACGCGUGCCCGAGCGCCCCAUGUUUCUGCCCGGCGUCCAGCUGCAGCUUUGCAGGGCCAACAGACGCCCUCCUUGAACAUUCCGCCUCCCAGCACAAGUGGCCGUGUACAACCAUCAAUUACUCCGAAGAUGUUGAGCUCUGCCUAGAACCAGGUCUACAUUUUCUUCGUACCAAAGACAGGGAAAUUUUCCUGCUCAACGUGGCACUAGAGCCAUACGGGCAUGCCAUCUCUGUCGUCUGCAUCCAACCUAAAGCUAUAAACUCCAAGUUCAAGUGUAGGAUGUCCUUGGUUCCUUUUUGA